rnacentral:rRNA from 1 species
AGCCCAGGGCUCAACCCUGGAAGUGCAUUUGAUACUGCGAAGCUUGAGUGUCGGAGAGGUUACUAGAAUUGUUGGUGUAGUGGUGAAAUACGUAGAUAUCAACAGGAAUACCGGAGGCGAAGGCGGGUAACUGGCCGAACACUGACACUGAGAUCCGAAAGCGUGGGGAUCAAACAGGAUUAGAUACCCUGGUAGUCCACGCCGUAAACGAUGGAUACUUGUUGUUGGAGGUAUUGACCCCUUCAGUGACGAAGCUAACGCGUUAAGUAUCCCGCCUGGGGAGUACGGUCGCAAGAUUAAAACUCAAAGAAAUUGACGGGGGCCCGCACAAGCGGUGGAGCAUGUGGUUUAAUUCGAUGCAACGCGAAGAACCUUACCUAGGCUUGACAUGUCUGGG